CUAGAAUCCUUGGAACCUAGGUGUGAGUGCUGUUUCAGUGCAACACACCUAUUCAAGGAUUCAAA
ensembl:miRNA